rnacentral:rRNA from 1 species
CCUACGGGAGGCAGCAGUAAGGAAUAUUGGUCAAUGGACGAAAGUCUGAACCAGCCAUGCCGCGUGAAGGAUGAAGGCCCUCUGGGUUGUAAACUUCUUUUAUAGGGGACGAAAAAAGGGCAUUCUUGCUCACUUGACGGUACCCUAGGAAUAAGCACCGGCUAACUCCGUGCCAGCAGCCGCGGUAAUACGGAGGGUGCAAGCGUUAUCCGGAUUUACUGGGUUUAAAGGGUGCGUAGGUGGGUUGGUAAGUCAGCGGUGAAAUCUUCGAGCUUAACUCGGAAACUGCCAUUGAUACUAUCAAUCUUGAAUCAUCUAGAGGUAAGCGGAAUAUGUCAUGUAGCGGUGAAAUGCUUAGAUAUGACAUAGAACACCAAUUGCGAAGGCAGCUUACUAUGGAUGUAUUGACACUGAGGCACGAAAGCGUGGGGAUCAAACAGGAUUAGAUACCCUGGUAGUCCACGCCCUAAACUAUGGAUACUCGACAUUUGCGAUAUACUGUAAGUGUCUGAGCGAAAGCAUUAAGUAUCCCACCUGGGAAGUAACGAGUCGCAAGAUUGAAACUCAAAUUGAAUUGACGGG